rnacentral:rRNA from 1 species
GAUGAACGCUAGCUGCAGGCUUAACACAUGCAAGUCGAGGGCCCGGCGCACGGGUGAGUAACACGUAUAAAUCCUGCCCUUUGCUCGAGGAUAGCCUUUCGCAAGAAAGAUUAAUACCCGAUGUAAAGUAUCGGGAUGCGUUCAAUUAGGUGGUUGGUGAGGUGACGGCUCACCAAAGCUUCGAUGGAUAGGGGUUCUGAGAGGAAGGUCCCCCACAGUGGAACUGCGACACGGUCCAAACUCCUACGGGAGGCAGCAGUGAGGAAUAUUGGUCAAUGGGCGUUAGCCUGAACCAGCCAAGUAGCGUGAAGGAGGAAUGCUUAUGGGUCGUAAACUUCUGUUAUAGAAGAAUAUUAAUUAUAUGAAUAAGGAUCGGCUAACUCCGUGCCAGCAGCCGCGGUAAUUC